AACGAACGCUGGCGGCAGGCCUAACACAUGCAAGUCGAGCGCGCCCUUCGGGGUGAGCGGCGGACGGGUGAGUAACCCGUGGGAACGUGCCCUUUUCUACGGAAUAUCCUCGGUAAACUGCGAGUAAUACCGUAUACGCCCUUUGGUGGAAAGAUUUAUCGGAAAAGGAUCGGACCGCGUUGGAUUAGGUAGUUGGUGGGGUAAUGGCCUACCAAGCCGACGAUCCAUAGGUGGUUUGAGAGUAUGAUCAGCCACACUGGGACUCAGACACGGCCCAGACUCCUACGGGAGGAAGCAGUGGGGAAACUUAGACAAUGGGGGCAACCCUGAUCUAGCCAGGCCGCGUGAGUGAUGAAGGCAUUAGGGUUGUAAAACUCUUUCAGCUGGGAAGAUAAUGACGGUACCAGCAGAAGAAGCCCAGGAUAACUCCGUG
rnacentral:rRNA from 1 species